ACCCCAGUUUUUGUCAGGUCAAACUUGUAGCCACCUGACCUUGGACAUGUAGGAAUUGGAGGCAAAGAGAUAUGGACUUGGAGAAGUCUGGAGCCAGUUUGCUCCCUGCAGGCUCAAGAUGACCCUUUCCCACAGAG
rnacentral:snoRNA from 1 species